rnacentral:rRNA from 1 species
CGUUCAGCAUCGGAGGUAGAGCACUGGAUGGGCUAGGGGGCCUACAAGCUUACUGACCCCAACCAAACUCCGAAUGCCGAUGCUCCAGAGACUGGCAGUGAGACCACGGGGGAUGAGCUUCGUUGGUCGAGAGGGAAACAGCCCAGAUCUACAGCUAAGGCCCCUAAUUCUGGACUAAGUGGAAAACGAUGUGAGAACGCUCAGACAGCCAGAAGGUUGGCUUAGAAGCAGCCAUCCUUUAAAGAGUGCGUAAUAGCUCACUGGUCGAGUGGUCUUGCGCGGACAAUGUAACGGGGCUCAAGUCCAGAGCCGAAGCUUAGAAUUGCACAUUUAUGUGUAGUGGUAGGGGAGCGUCGAAUUUGCUGUGAAGCGGAGGUGUGAACCUGCGUGGAGCGUAUUCGAGUGAGAAUGCUGGUAUGAGUAGCGAGAGAGGGGUGAGAAACCCCUCCACCGUAAGCCCAAGGGUUCCUGGGGAAGGCUAAUCCCCCCAGGGUAAGUCGGGAGCUAAGGCGAGGCCGAGAGGCGUAGUCGAUGCACAACAGGUUGAUAUUCCUGUACCACCGCGUUCGCGCCCAUUCCAAAGUGAGGAUACUAAGGGGCUGACCUUCGGGUCGAACUGACCAGCCCCGCGGCGGAAAGCAAUGGAGGGACGGAGGAGGAUAGGUGAGCCCAGGCGUUGGUUGUCCUGGGGUAAGUGCGUAGGGCGAGGUGUAGGUAAAUCCGCACUUCAUGAUGCCUGAGACACGAUGCCGAGCCAUUAGGCGAAGUCACUGAUUCCAUGCUCCCAAGAAAAUCUUCUAGCGAGUGAACACGGUGCCCGUACCCCAAACCGACACAGGUGGGCGGGUAGAGAAUACCAAGGUGAUCGGGAUAACCGUAGUUAAGGAACUCGGCAAAAUGCAUCCGUAACUUCGGGAGAAGGAUGGCCUUAUUAGCGUGAAGGACUUCGCGUCCGGAGCGUGAAAAGGUCGCAGAGAAUUGUGGGAAGCGACUGUUUACCAAAAACACAGGAGCGUGCUAAGUCGUAAGACGCUGUAUACGCUCUGACGCCUGCCCGGUGCUGGAAGGUUACGGGGAUCGGUUAGCUUUCGGGCGAAGCUGAGAACCUAAGCCCCAGUAAACGGCGGCCGUAACUAUAACGGUCCUAAGGUAGCGAAAUUCCUUGUCGGGUAAGUUCCGACCUGCACGAAUGGCGUAACGACUUCCCAACUGUCUCAACUAGAGACCCGGCGAAAUUGAAGUACGAGUAAAGAUGCUCGUUAGCUGCAUCAGGACGGAAAGACCCCGUGCACCUUUACUACAACUUGAUGUUGGGUUUUGGUUCAGUUUGUGUAGGAUAGCUGGGAGACUUUGAAGCGUUGGCGCUAGUCAGCGUGGAGUCAAUGUUGAAAUACCAGCCUUUCUGCGCCGGAACCCUAACCUUGGUCCGUAAUCCGGAUCAGGAACAGCGUCAGGCGGGUAGUUUGACUGGGGCGGUCGCCUCCUAAAAUGUAACGGAGGCGCCCAAAGGUUCCCUCAGGCUGGUUGGCAAUCAGCUGUUGAGUGCAAUGACACAAGGGAGCUUGACUGCGAGACCUACAGGUCGAGCAGGUACGAAAGUAGGGCAUAGUGAUCCGGCGGUUGCUUGUGGAAGCGCCGUCGCUCAACGGAUAAAAGGUACGCCGGGGAUAACAGGCUUAUUUCCCCCAAGAGUCCAUAUCGACGGGGAAGUUUGGCACCUCGAUGUCGGCUCGUCGCAUCCUGGGGCUGAAGCCGGUCCCAAGGGUUGGGCUGUUCGCCCAUUAAAGCGGUACGCGAGCUGGGUUCAGAACGUCGUGAGACAGUUCGGUCCCUAUCCGAUGCAGCCGUAAGUGAUUUGAGAAAGGUUGUCCCUAGUACGAGAGGACCGGGACGAACGCAGCUCUCGUGUGACAGUUGUCCUGCCAAGGGCAUGGCUGUUUUGCGACCUGCGGGUGGGAUAAGCGCUGAAAGCAUCUAAGUGCGAAGCCCGUUUCAAGAUAAAAUCACUCACUGGGUUAACCAGGUAAGGCCCGUGGCCAGACGACCACGUUGAUAGGCCGGAAGUGUAAGUGCGGUAACGCAUUCAGCUGACCGGUACUAAUCGGCCGAGGGCUUGGAGU